rnacentral:rRNA from 1 species
AUUGAACGCUGGCGGCAUGCUUUACACAUGCAAGUCGAACGGCAGCACGGGUGCUUGCACCUGGUGGCGAGUGGCGGACGGGUGAGUAAUACAUCGGAACGUAUCCAGAAGAGGGGGAUAACGCAUCGAAAGAUGUGCUAAUACCGCAUAUUCUCUGAGGAGGAAAGCAGGGGAUCGAAAGACCUUGCGCUUUGGGAGCGGCCGAUGUCUGAUUAGCUAGUUGGUGGGGUAAAGGCCUACCAAGGCGACGAUCAGUAGUUGGUCUGAGAGGACGACCAGCCACACUGGGACUGAGACACGGCCCAGACUCCUACGGGAGGCAGCAGUGGGGAAUUUUGGACAAUGGGCGCAAGCCUGAUCCAGCAAUGCCGCGUGAGUGAAGAAGGCCUCGGGUUGUAAGACUCGUUUCUAGUCGAGAGAAAAGACUAGCAGUGAAUAACUAGUAGUUC